rnacentral:rRNA from 1 species
CCUACGGGUGGCAGCAGUGAGGAAUAUUGGUCAAUGGCCGGGAGGCUGAACCAGCCAAGUCGCGUGAGGGAAGAAGGCCCUACGGGUUGUAAACCUCUUUUGUCAGGGAGCAAGGUGCAGGUCGGGACCUGCUGGGAGAGUACCUGACGAAAAAGCAUCGGCUAACUCCGGGCCAGCAGCCGCGGUAAUACGGGGGAUGCGACCGUUGUCCGGAUUUAUGGGGUGAAAGGGGUGCGAGGGCGGGGGCAAAAGUCAGCGGUAAAAUCGCGGGGCGCAACCCCGCUCCGACGUUGAAACUGUGUCCCUUGAGUGCGCGAAGGGUAGGCGGAAUGCGUGGUGUAGCAGUGAAAUGCAUAGAUAUCACGCAGAACUCCGAUGGCGAAGGCAGCCUACCGGCGCGCAACUGACGCUCAUGCACGAAAGCGUGGGUAGCGAACAGGAUUAGAUACCCUAGUAGUC